rnacentral:lncRNA from 1 species
AUAGUUUUCAUUGUAGAGAUCUUUCACUGCUUUAAGUUUAUUCCUAAGUAUACUAUUUUAUUUGUAGCUAUUGUAAAUGGAAUUACUUUCUUGAUUUCUUUUUCAGAUUGUUCACUAUUGGCAUAUAGAAAUGAUACUGAGUUUUGUAUUCUGCAACUUUAUUGAAUUUAUUUAUCAGUUCUAAUAGGUUUUUUGGAGACUCUAGGUUUUUACAAAUAUAAGAUUAUAUCAUCUGCAAACA